UACGUAGGGGGCAAGCGUUGUCCGGAUUUAUUGGGCGUAAAGAGCGUGUAGGCGGUCUGGUAGGUCCGUUGUGAAAACUCGAGGCUCAACCUCGAGACGCCGAUGGAAACCCUCAGACUAGAGUCCGGAAGAGGAGAGUGGAAUUCCCGGUGUAGCGGUGAAAUGCGCAGAUAUCGGGAAGAACACCCGUGGCGAAGGCGGCUCUCUGGGACGGUACUGACGCUGAGACGCGAAAGCGUGGGGAGCGAACAGG
rnacentral:rRNA from 1 species